AAGAGCACAACACACGUAGGGAAUCGUGCCGGUGCGGUGUUUUCAGCCUGCGCCGAUUUCCAACCGCAACGAAGAAUGCCAAGCUGCGCCACCGGUGGAUAGCUGCAGUGAAUAGGAAGAACUACCAACCCAGUGAAAAUGCACGAGUUUGCUCCGAGCACUUUCUGGGCAACAAGCCUACAGAGCAGAAUCCCGCGCCGGUGCUUCGCCUUGGCUAUAACAAAAAGUGUGCAGGUGGUGAAGGGCAGGCGUCUGCUAACCAGGCAGUCAAACGACCUCGCCAGUUGGUUGCCAAGCGCGGCCAACCCAGUAGAGACCAUUACAAACAAGACCAAACUGAAAGUGCAGAUGACAGUGUUCUGCGUGCUUUAAUAAUAUAUGGCACCAACACAGUGCUGUAAAUUCCUUCACAGGUUACGUGCCAAAAAGCUCACAGGUGUUCUAGCAUAUAGCGCGCGAUUUGUACAAACGUAAUAGCGUACCUACCCGAUGUAUUCGCUUCUGCAGUCUGCACAGCACUCAGUGUGUCCAUUGUGGACUUGCACGAAGUCUUGAAGUUUGAUUGAAUCCAGACAGCGAAAAUGACAGGUUAGAAAAAACGUGAAACACGCCUUCCGCCCAGCUAAAAAGCCCAAGUUUCGCUUUCGCGCCGGGUCGCAUCUCCCGGCGUGGCAGCCCAGGCCUGCUACUUCGCGGCGCUUGGGAUAGAUGGCGCGACCGGCGCUCAUCAAUAUGGCGGCGCCCUUUGAAUUCACGGUGUUCUGGU